rnacentral:rRNA from 1 species
AUGCAUACCAUACUAGGGCAUUUUGCGAGUUGUGUGCGAGGGAAGUUGAAGCAGGCAAAAGGGGCGGGGGUGUUCUUGAGUCCUAGAGGAUAUAAGAAUUUGGGGGAGAGGUGGUUGCAGAUAACUAAGAAAAGUUAUGUGAGGAUGCAAUUCAAGAAUAGAUGGGAAAAUCUCAAAACUAUGUAUUGUCAAUGGAAACAACUGCAACUUGACGCAUCUGGACUUGGAUGGAAUGCUAAGCUAGGAACCAUUGAUGCUGAUACUGAUUGGUGGAACACUCACCUAAUAAAAAACCCGGAGCAUGCAAAGUAUAGGAAUGGAGGACCACCCAACUUGACUGAAAUGGACCUCAUGUUUGAUGACCGUCAUGUCACCGGUGCCGAGUCAGGUAUCCCCGGUGAGAUACCAUUGGACAAGGAGGAUGUUAGUGGUGACACUGAUAGUGCAGAGGAUGAUGAUGAAGUCAUCAAAGCAAAAGCAAAGAAGCAACAAAAGACCAAGUCCUGUAAAGAUGAUUUUUCUGCUCAAGAUGAGAAGAACCCAUUUCUUCGGAUGUACAAGAAGGCUAGUGAUGUGAUAUGUGUAACGGUUGAAAGUAUAAAAGGAAGCAUCUAG